rnacentral:rRNA from 1 species
UACAGAGGUCCCAAGCGUUGUUCGGAUUCAUUGGGCGUAAAGGGUGCGUAGGUGGCGUCGUAAGUUCGGGUGUGAAAUCUCCGGGGCUUAACUCCGGAAACUGCAUUUGAUACUGCGGUGCUUGAGGACUGGAGAGGAGGACUGGGAAUUCGACGGUGUAGCAGUGAAAUGCGUAGAUAUCGUGAGGAAGACCAGCUGGCGAAGGCGGGAUCG